rnacentral:rRNA from 1 species
ACCUGAAACCGCAUGCAUACAAACAGUAGGAGCCUCAUCAGAGGUGACUGCGUACCUUUUGCAUAAUGGGUCAGCGACUUACAUUCUGUGGCGAGCUUAACCGAAUAGGGGAGGCGCAGCGAAAGCGAGUUCGAAAUGAGCGUCCAGUCGCAGGGUGUAGACCCGAAACCAGAUGAGCUAUCCAUGGCCAGGUUGAAGGUGUGGUAACACACACUGGAGGACCGAACCGACUAGUGUUGCAAAAUUAGCGGAUGAGCUGUGGAUAGGGGUGAAAGGCCAAACAAAUCUGGAGAUAGCUGGUUCUCCCCGAAAACUAUUGAGGUAGUGCCUCGUGUGUCGCUCCAGGGGGUAGAGCACUGUUUUGGCUAGGGGGACAUGGAGUCUUACCAAACCAAGGCAAACUCCGAAUACCUGGAAGCGUAAGCACGGGAGACAGAGCACCGGGUGCUAACGUCCGGACUCAAAAGGGAAACAACCCAGACCGCCGGCUAAGGUCCCAAAUAACAGCUAAGUGGAAAACGAAGUGGAAAGGCCGUGACAACCAGGAAGUUGGCUUAGAAGCAGCCAUCCUUCAAAGAAAGCGUAAUAGCUCACUGGUCGAGUCCUUCUGCGCGGAAGAUGUAACGGGGCUAAGCUGUUAACCGAAGCCGCGGAUGCGCUGGUUAUCCAGUGCGUGGUAGGGGAGCGUUCUGUAAGUCUGCGAAGGCGGUUCGAGAGGACUGCUGGAGAUAUCAGAAGUGCGAAUGCUGACAUGAGUAACGUUAAAGCAGGUGAAAAGCCUGCUCGCCGUAAGCCCAAGGAUUCCUGCUCUACGUUCAUCGGAGCAGGGUGAGUCGGCUCCUAAGGUCAGGCCGAAAGGCGUAGCCGAUGGGAAUCAGGUUAAUAUUCCUGAACCUGCGUCAGAUGCGAUGGGGGGACGGAGCAUGGAAGAUCAUCCGGGUGUUGGAAGUCCCGGUUGUUUAGCGUAGGAGGUCUGCAGGCAAAUCCGCAGACGCAUCUCCAAGGCAAAGACACGUGCCGCCACGGCGGCGAAGUGAUCGGAAGUGCUUCCAAGAAAAGCCUCUAAGCCCCAGUCUGAUGCGGACCGUACCGCAAACCGACACUGGUGGGCGAGCUGAAUAUGCUCAGGCGCUUGAGAGAACUCGGGAGAAGGAACUCGGCAAAUUGACACCGUAACUUCGGAAGAAGGUGUGCCGUAGUACCGUGAGAGGAGAGACACCUUGAGCGGGAAACGGUCUCAGAGAAUAGGUGGCUGCGACUGUUUAUUAAAAACACAGCACUCUGCAAAGUCGAAAGACGACGUAUAGGGUGUGAUGCCUGCCCGGUGCUGGAAGAUUAAUUGAUGGGGUGAGAGCCCUUGAUCGAAGUCCCAGUAAACGGCGGCCGUAACUAUAACGGUCCUAAGGUAGCGAAAUUCCUUGUC